rnacentral:rRNA from 1 species
UGGGGAAUAUUGGGCAAUGGGGGAAACCCUGACCCAGCAACGCCGCGUGAAGGAAGAAGGUUUUCGGAUUGUAAACUUCUGUCUUUGGGGAAGAAAAAAAUGACGGUACCCAAAGAGGAAGCCCCGGCUAACUACGUGCCAGCAGCCGCGGUAAUACGUAGGGGGCGAGCGUUGUCCGGAAUGACUGGGCGUAAAGGGCGCGUAGGCGGCGCUAUAAGUUUGGAGUGAAAGUCCCGCUUUCAAGGUGGGAAUUGCUUUGAAUACUGUAGUGCUUGAGUGCAGAAGAGGUAAGUGGAACUCCCAGUGUAGCGGUGAAAUGCGUAGAGAUUGGGAAGAACACCAGUGGCGAAGGCGACUUACUGGGCUGUAACUGACGCUGAGGCGCGAGAGCGUGGGGAGCAAACA